rnacentral:rRNA from 1 species
UACGAAGGGGGCUAGCGUUGUUCGGAAUUACUGGGCGUAAAGCGCGCGCAGGCGGUUUCUCAAGUCAGGGGUGAAAUCCCGGGGCUCAACCCCGGAACUGCCUUUGAUACUGGGUAUCUCGAGUCCGAGAGAGGUGAGUGGAAUUCCGAGUGUAGAGGUGAAAUUCGUAGAUAUUCGCAAGAACACCAGUGGCGAAGGCGGCUCACUGGCCCGGUACUGACGCUGAGGUGCGAAAGCGUGGGGAGCAAACAGG